UGGGUUAUGCGGACCCGUGCCCGCUGUGCGGGAACAACAAGCGGCGGAGGUUCGACGUGCGCUACUCGCGCUCCACCGAGGGUCCCUGCCAACAGCAGUCCACUCUGCCGGCGCCGGAGGACCAGCCGAAGUCCGUCUCCGACCCGCUGCCCUCGCCGGCGCCGUGCGCUGCCGUGGAGGCGGCAGCGCCGCCCCGCCACGAGGACCCGCCGGCAGCAGCUUCUC
rnacentral:lncRNA from 1 species